CGAGAAAGAUAACAUUGGGGAUAUCAUUAUGUGAAACAAAUGGUCAAUUAUCGAUGUCUGCGCCCAACAAAAGAAAUCAGCAUGUGUACGUCAAAACAGAAGUAUUGGAAGUGUGAGUGAGCCCCUUUUUGGAGCGAAAAAUAAAAUGUAAGCGCUGAAACUAACAAAUCAGGCGAAGCUCUUAAACAGGUACGUAUAUAAAGCGAUAUGUGCAACGGAAAAGCUAGACGGAACACAUCAAUCCAGAAUUGCGAAAAAAGUACAGAGCGGACCGAGAAAUCAGUCAGUUAGAACUCGGCAGAGCAGUGCAACAGUACGGUGAACAUCUCAGCAAGAAUAGCAACAAAAGAAGUGAAUUUCUAAAAAAAAAAUAUCUGGAAGGAAAUUGCUACACUUAAAUUUUAAAAGUGCUUACUUUUGUUACAUUUGUGCAAACAAAUUUGCGGGAUAAACUGAUUUUUAAUAUAUAGUACAUUUCAUUAAAUAACGAAAGUGAAUAAGCAUCAUAAGUGAAGUUUUGACAUACACACCCUCCAUUUAUGUAGGGGUGCUUUGGAAUAGAAAGGACACUGGCCUAUCGAAGGUGAAGAGGCAGAAACGCAACGUCAUCAGCCUUUUGACACCGAAAACGACAUUUUCGGCUGCAUUGUGUUUAUAACCGCCAGACUAUACAUGCGCUUAUUUUUAUAUUGCUAUUUAGCACAAAGAUUUACUGCGACAAGGUGACAAAAAGGAGUUUAAUAUCGGGCUUUACAGCCAGAGAUUAUUGGACAAAUGGCAAUAGGAAAUAUUGAAUACAUUAAAUAAAACGAAACUUUAGAAUAUACUAGACUGUAAGAACAAAGCGUGUUAAGAACCAAAUUAAAAACGCAGAGCGGAGAUUUACGAAUACAUAUGUAUAUUCAUUCACCAUUGAAUGUUGUUAUGCUGCAAAGGACACGUAGGCACAACUGAAGGUAGAGCAAGCAAAAAUGCCUACCCAACUUCAUCAUUAGUAUACCGCGAUAUGCAGAGGUGAAAAGGACAUAUGCCACAAAUUAUACUACAUACAUAUAUCAACGUUCAAAAAACACACAGUGGUUGAGCGAGUAAAAAAACAAUAAUAUUAAACUUCAGACUUCCUAUUUAUUUAUUAAAAAUUUAAUUUACGUCAGCAAAGUGUUCAGAAGAUCAUCCCACACAUAAUAACAGUUUUAAUUAAAAACAAUAAAGUUUGAGUGUUCGCGUGACAAUUAUGAGCUAAAGAAAAUAAUGUUUAUUUAAAAAUAUAAAAAUAAAUAAGUGAUAACAAAUAACUGUCAUUCAGAAGACUACUAUAUAUACAGCAAAUAAUACGAAUGCUAACUUAUUUUCACUAUAAGAAAAUAUGUAUUUAUUAUAGUUUGAAACCAAAGUUAACAGUCUCAUCGAAAAUCGUGCACAAAUUCCCGGAUACAAUUAAAAGAGGAGCUACAAGUAAAACGAUUCUUUGCAACAUUCACUUAAGAGAAGACAACAACAAAAUUUCAAGAUGCGAUUAUUUCCGGUGCGUUUAUCGAACAUUACAAAAAUGCUCGAUAUGUACUCGCAGUUCAAUCCAUCACCUUUGUCUAUAAAACAAUUUAUGGAUUUCGGUCAAAAUGCAUGCGAGAAGAAAUCCUUUAUAUUCCUGCGUAAAGAGCUGCCCGUACGUCUGGCGAAUAUCAUGAAGGAGAUCGCGUUGCUGCCCGACCAUUUGCUAAACACCCAAUCAGUGAGCCAGGUGAGCUCAUGGUACGUGCAAAGCUUUGAGGAGGUACUGGAGUUUGAAAAGGCAGAACCGACGCAUAGUAAUUUGGAAAAGUUUUGCAACACUUUGGUGCACAUACGCAACAGACACAGUGAUGUGGUGCAAACAAUGGCUCAAGGCGUCAUCGAAAUGAAGGAGCAUCAGGGCGGCCCCGUUGAUUGCGGCAUGGAAUCGUCGAUACAAUACUUCCUCGAUCGUUUAUACAUGUCGCGCAUUAGCAUACGAAUGCUAAUCAAUCAGCACACUAUACUAUUUGGACAGUUCCCCAACGAGCAGGGUCGUCAUAUUGGCUGCUUGGAUCCGGCCUGUCAGAUCUCGUCGGUGGUAAGAGAUGCUUAUGAAAACGCACGCUUUCUCUGCGAUCAAUACUAUCUGAUCAGUCCGGAACUGGAAAUCACUGAGCAUAAUCCACACGACAAAGCAAAUAAUCCCAUACGCACUGUUUAUGUGCCCUCGCAUUUAUACCACAUGCUUUUCGAGCUGUUUAAGAAUUCCAUGCGUGCUGUGGUGGAAAAUAACGAUCAGGAUAAAUGUGAAAAGCUGCCACCCAUUAAGGUGCUCAUAGCGGAGGGCAAGGAAGAUAUAUGUGUGAAGAUCUCAGACCAAGGUGGCGGCAUUCCACGUUCACAAACCGAUCAGUUGUUCAAAUACAUGUACAGCACUGCGCCACAGCCAUCAAAAUCCGAUCUACAUACAGUGCCAUUAGCUGGAUAUGGCUAUGGCCUGCCCAUUUCGCGUUUGUAUGCACGCUAUUUCCAUGGUGAUAUUGUGUUGUUGUCAUGCGAAGGAUAUGGCACCGAUGCGAUUAUUUAUAUGAAGGCACUAUCAGAUGAAGCUAACGAGCUCCUGCCCAUUUUCAACAAGACGAGCUCGAAAUUUUAUCGCGCCACCGUGCCCACUGGCGAUUGGUCUAACCAGAAUUUUUCCAACCGUUGGCGUUAUAUAUAUAGUCUCUUCACGUCCAAAAACAAUUAGCGUAUGUUUUAUUCUAAAAUGCUUGACUCAUUUAAAUUGGUUUUUAUUUAUGAUGAAAGAGCUCUGACAUGAAUGCAAGGCAGUUGAAUGCUUCGGCACCGAAGCGCUACAAUGACAUGUUAUAGACCGAACCGACGAGGGACUCGGCAGUUGAGCACAGAAAGCUAACGGUAGCAGUUGCAGAACCAGCAAAUCUAUUGAUAUCACAAGCUCAGGAGCAUUUGUUGAACGAUAAGGAAUGAAGAGCAAUGGUAUAGAUGAAAGAGUUGUUAGGAAGGAAGUGUAAACCAAUUUUCGGAUUAAUCAAUUGACGUAACCCAAUCAGCACAAGACCUUUAACUUAUCAAAAGGACGAGCAUAAAAAUUAAUCACGGCGUUAUUCAGGAAAUAUUGAAAACGGUUUUCUAACUGAUAACGGAAAUUUUGCAACAAGUAGUAAAUCAAAACCCCAAAAAGUGGAAAGAAAUUAAAAAAUUAUGAAAAUUUUGCAAUAAGUAGAAAGUGAGCGAGCAUUGUAACUAAUCAAGCUGAGAAUUAUGUAACCAAUAGUAAAAAGUCAAAAGGCACGCGUGCGAAUAAAAAAUACAAUUAAUUAAAGAAAACUCAAGUAAAAAUAUCAUGCACAAGUUGGAGAGGUUUGUAGGUUCGUAAUUUAGAAUUAUGUCAUUGCGCUAAAAUUCGCCGGCGUUUGAUGAAAAGCACUUUCGGCAAGGCUUUGCUACCAUCGUGUGGGAAUUUGCCUUUGUGCGCAAACAGUCAGUCACGGCGAUGAUUUCAAUUGCACAUAUACACACAUAGUACAUAAAUGCAUAUAUACAUUUACAAGUCGUAGAAUUAUGUAAGCAAACACAUUUUCAAACGCAUAAUUUAUUAGCAAAAAACAUUCCCCUCAAAAGUCCAUAAACAUUUAUUCACUCGGCACUUUAAGCUCACAGCCAUUUGCACUUUUAUUCGUAUUUUUAAUGUGUAAGCGAACGAAGAAGAUAUCCGAUACUUUAGGUUAGGUGUAAGAAGUUACCACGAUUGUUAAGUUUAACACUUAGUUUUAACAGAGCAUUUGUUUAAACCGUAAUGAAUUAUAAAUUAAGUUUUAUAAAAAUAUAUGUUAAUGAUGGAUACCGAAGACGGAUAGAAAUAAAAUUGUUUGAUAUGGAA